ensembl:snRNA U6 U6 spliceosomal RNA
GUGCUCAUUUUGGCAACACAUAAACCCAAAUUGGAAUGAUAUAAAGAAGAUUAGCAUGACCCCAUGUAAGAAUGACAUAAAAAUUUGUGAACCAUUUCAUAUUUUA